rnacentral:rRNA from 1 species
CCUACGGGAGGCAGCAGUGAGGAAUAUUGGUCAAUGGGCGCGAGCCUGAACCAGCCAAGUAGCGUGAAGGAUGACUGCCCUACGGGUUGUAAACUUCUUUUAUAAAGGAAUAAAGUGAGGCACGUGUGCCUUUUUGAAUGUACUUUAUGAAUAAGGAUCGGCUAACUCCGUGCCAGCAGCCGCGGUAAUACGGAGGAUCCGAGCGUUAUCCGGAUUUAUUGGGUUUAAAGGGAGCGUAGGUGGGUGGUUAAGUCAGUUGUGAAAUUUUGCGGCUCAACCUCAAAAUUGCAAUUGAUACUGGCAGUCUUGAGUACAGUUGAGGUAGGCGGAAUUCGUGGUGUAGCGGUGAAAUGCUUAGAGAUCACGAAGAACUCCGAUUGCGAAGGCAGCUUACUAAGCUGCCACUGACAUUGAGGCUCGAAAGUGUGGGUAUCAAACAGGAUUAGAUACCCCAGUAGUC